rnacentral:rRNA from 1 species
AACGUAGGAGGCGAGCGUUAUCCGGAUUCACUGGGCGUAAAGCGUGCGUAGGCGGUUGGGUAAGUCGGACGUGAAAGCCCCUGGCUCAACUGGGGGAGGUCGUUCGAUACUGCUUGGCUUGAGGAUGAGAGAGGAAAGCGGAAUUCCCGGUGUAGCGGUGGAAUGCGUAGAGAUCGGGAGGAACACCAGUGGCGAAAGCGGCUUUCUGGCUCAUUUCUGACGCUGAGUGCACGAAAGCGUGGGGA